CCUGCGUCUAACAGUCCGGGCAGACCGCUGCCUUGGUGAGAUACGGGACCAGGACCUCCCGGGAAGACGGAAGAGGAGAAGCAAGGGCCUUGCAGAGAACAGCUGUCCCUCCGUAUCCGAGGGGCAUUGGUCCCAGCCCUUCCGUCCCCCCUCGGAUACCAACAUCCGAGGAUGCUCGAGUCCGGAGGGUCUCAGGACCAAGGGGACCAGCAGCUUUAUUCUGGCGGAGGUCACCACCAGGUACAGGGCCACGCCCUCGCCCCAACGCUCUCUCUACCCCGCAGGCAAUCCUUGGUCUCGGUUCCUCUUCCUCCAGGGAGACCGCCAAGAUUGCUGAUCCUUCCUCCCUGUUACAGCUGGGUCAGCUCCUCCGUGGCCAGCUAUUGGGUGACCAGCCUCACCAAAGGACAGAGACCAAUGAUGCCUCCUCUGCCCCGAGGGUCACCAGGCUCAUCUGACCAGAGUGUCCCCGAUGCGAGGAGGCUGCAGUGUGUCUUCUACAGCAGAUGGUUUGUUUGAGCUUCCUUAGGGACCGGGGGCUCGGUGAGGACGAUGAGGACGGUACAGCCCCCGCAGAGGCACGCGUGGAACUGCGUGCGGGGAUUUACGAGCUGUCACCGUCCUGCUGCGGACAAGCCUUCCUGCCGUUCCCUUUCCUCUCUUCAUUCCUCGCUCUCCUUCCUUUUUUCUUUUUAAUAACCCUGGCUGCAUAGUUCCUCUAAACCAAACCAUCUGUGUACCAGCUCUUAGAAGCAGCAAUAAAGGCGGCGAGGACCAGAGCCCUCUGGGCCCAGGCCCUUGCCUGGCGUGUCCAGGAGGCCCGGGGAGAAGGGAAGGGUCCCUGGGGGUAGCGCAUCUGAAGUUGCCUGUGCACAGCGGAGAGGAUCAGAGGGCUGAGGCAGGGACAUCACAGGCUCGGGCGUCACCUGCCUGCCGGUGAGGAGCUGCAAUGAGGCGACUGUGCGCAUCCGGCUCACGGUGCCAAGAUCACUCCGUCCAUCCAGAGCAGAGCGGCGAGGACAGAUGAGCCGGGAAAACAGUUCACAACAAUGCGCAGCGCCUAGCUUUCAUCGUUGGCUCGCCGGGCUCUGCGCGCCGUCAGCCACCUAAUCAUAAACAGAGGGGGGCGCUGCCAUCUGGCAGCCAGGCCCAGGCGUGAGCUGUCAGCUGGGCUGGGGUCCCUUCCUGGGCCAGGUGUCCCCAGGCCUGGGGCCAGGUGCUGGGCCCCAGCAAACCUGGAUGGCGAGUCCCACCCAGCCACUGCCCUGAGGGUGGCGCACGCCCCUCUAGGAGAGAGAAACGAGGGACGGAGGUGCUGACAACUACAGUGUCUGGCCCAGCAAACAGGCUGGAGGAAAGAUGAAAUCCUAGGUCAGCAAAACCCGGCUUAAAACAUAUUUUUUUAAAAACAUUUUUUUUAACCUGGCUGGCAUGGCUCCGUGGUUGAGCGUC